UGUUUGCUGGUGCUUGGUCUAAAGCAGCAAGCUCCCCUUCCGAUGCUGAAAGGCCACUGUGAGGUCACCUCAACUGGAGCUUGAUCUUCUGAGUGCAGAACUGAAUGAACCUCAGCUGCUGGAUUUGGGAGGCUGCAAGGAGCAAGCAUGGCUCUCUGACAGAACAAAUAAGAUGACAUUUUAGCAACAACUUUGAAGGAUUUGAGCUACUGGAGGGUGAAACAGUGACCUUAUUUUCUUGAUUAAGGAGAGCUGAGCAAUUGUACAGC
rnacentral:lncRNA from 1 species